rnacentral:tRNA from 1 species
GGCUUCAUAGCUCAGUUGGUUAGAGCGUCGCGCCGGUAUCGCGAGGUCACGGGUUCAAACCCCUCUGAAGUCC